rnacentral:misc_RNA from 1 species
GAUGAAGAACGCAGCGAAAUGCGAUAAGUAGUGUGAAUUGCAGAAUUCAGUGAAUCAUCGAAUCUUUGAACGCACAUUGCGCCCCUUGGUAUUCCAUGGGGCAUGCCUGUUCGAGCGUCAUUUGUACCUUCAAGCUCUGCUUGGUGUUGGGUGUUUGUCUCGCCUCUGCGUGUAGACUCGCCUCAAAAUAAUUGGCAGCCGGCGUAUUGAUUUCGGAGCGCAGUACAUCUCGCGCUUUGCACUCAUAACGACGACGUCCAAAAGUACAUUUUUACACUCUUGACCUCGGAUCAGGUAGGGAUACCCGCUGAACUUAAGCAUAUCAAUAAGCGAGGA